CUGUAGCACUGUAGCACUUCUACAAUUGAAACAGUAUCGAGAAGAUUAGCAUGGCCCUUGCAUAAAAUUGGUAUGCAAAUUAAUGAAGUAUUCCACAUUUUU